rnacentral:tRNA from 1 species
GCCCGGGUGGCGAAACUGGUAGACGCAAGGGACUUAAAAUCCCUCAGCUGUAAGGCUAUGCGGGUUCGAUUCCCGCCCCGGGCA